UGAAUACGAGAUGCUACGGCGUCGAAGCAGUCUAUGUCAUACUUCCAAGAAAAGCUUGCACUGUCAUAAACAAAUAAUGCCUGUACCAUAACCGACACAGGUGGGUAGGUAGAGUAUACUAAGGGGCGCGAGAUAACUCUCUCUAAGGAACUCGGCAAAAUGACUCCGUAACUUCGGGAGAAGGAGUGCCUUAUUUUAUAAGGUUGCAAUAACAAGAUCCAAGCAACUGUUUACCAAAAACACAGGUCUCCGCUAAGUCGUAAGACGAUGUAUGGGGGCUGACGCCUGCCCAGUGCCAGAAGGUUAAAGAAGUUGGUUAGCAUCCGCGAAGCUGAUAACUGAAGCCCUGGUGAACGGCGGCCGUAACAAUAACGGUCCUAAGGUAGCGAAAUUCCUUGUCGGGUAAGUUCCGACCCGCACGAAAGGCGUAAUGAUUUGGAUACUGUCUCAGAGAGGGGCUCGGUGAAAUAGACUUGUCUGUGAAGAUGCGGACUACCUGCACCAGGACAGAAAGACCCUAUGAAGCUUUACUGUAACUUGAAAUUGAAAUUGGACUUUACUUGCGCAGUAUAGGUGGGAGGCGUUGAGAAUAUUCUUGCGGGAAUGUUGGAGCCAUCAGUGAGAUACCACUCUUGUAAUGUUAGAUUUCUAACUUUGUAUCAUUAUCUGGUCAAAGGACAGUUUCAGGCGGCAGUUUGACUGGGGCGGUCGCCUCCCAAACGGUAACGGAGGCGCACAAAGGUUUCCUCUGAACGGGUAGAAAUCGUAUCUAGAGUGUAAAGGCAUAAGGAAGCUUGACUGUGAGACCUACAAGUCGAGCAGGGACGAAAGUCGGUCUUAGUGAUCUGACGGUGCUGAGUGGAAAGGCCGUCACUCAACGGAUAAAAGUUACUCUAGGAUAACAGGCUGAUCUCCCCCAAGAGUUCACAUCGACGGGGAGGUUUGGCACCUCGAUGUCGGCUCAUCGCAUCCUGGGGCGGUAGUACGUCCCAAGGGUUGGGCUGUUCGCCCAUGAAAGCGGUACGCGAGCUGGGUUCAGAACGUCGUGAGACAGUUCGGUCCAUAUCCGGUGUAGGCGUUAGAAUAUUGAGAGGAGCCUUCUUUAGUACGAGAGGACCGAGAAGGACAUACCUCUGGUGUACCAGUUAUCGUGCCAACGGUAAACGCUGGGUAGCUAUGUAUGGAGUGGAUAACCGCUGAAAGCAUCUAAGUGGGAAGCCCACCUCAAGAUAAG
rnacentral:rRNA from 1 species